CGGAUUGCAGGCUGCAACCCGCCUGUAUGAAGUUGGAAUCGCUAGUAAUCGCGGAUCAGCAUGCCGCGGUGAAUACGUUCCCGGGCCUUGUACACACCGCCCGUCACACCAUGAGAGUCGGGAACACCCGAAGUCCGUAGUCUAACUUUCACGAGAGGACGCGGCCGAAGGUGGGUUCGAUAAUUGGGGUGAAGUCGUAACAAGGUAAC
rnacentral:rRNA from 1 species